rnacentral:rRNA from 1 species
GCCCUAUGGGUUGUAAACGGCUUUUGAUUGGGAAGAACAGGUGGGAUUUGUCCUGCUUUGACGGUACCAUUUGAAUAAGCACCGGCUAACUCCGUGCCAGCAGCCGCGGUAAUACGGAGGGUGCAAGCGUUGUCCGGAAUCAUUGGGUGUAAAGGGUGCGUAGGCUGGCGCCUAAGUCUGGGGUGAAAUCUUGCCGCUUAACGGUAAAAUUGCCCUGGAUACUGGGUGUCUUGAAUCUGACAGAGGUCGGUGGAAUUCGUGGUGUAGCGGUGAAAUGCAUAGAUAUCACGAAGAACACCAGUGGCGAAGGCGGCCGGCUGGGUCAGUAUUGACGCUGAGGCACGAGAGCGUGGGGAGCGAACAGGAUUAGAUACCCUGGUAGUCCACGCUGUAAACGAUGUAUGCUAGUUGUUGGGCCUUCGGGUUCAGUGACGCACUUAACGCACUAAGCAUACCACCUGGGGAGUACGUUCGCAAGAAUGAAACUCACAGG